rnacentral:sRNA from 2 species
GAGGAUGAGAACCUCCGGGGGCGGGGAGGUUCGACUCGAGCGAAGCGAGAGAACGUUGCGCCAGCAACGGCCCGCAGGGCGAGCCACGAAGUGGCGAGUAAUCCUCUAUCACCGACCA